UACGUAGGGUCCGAGCGUUGUCCGGAAUUACUGGGCGUAAAGAGCUCGUAGGUGGUUUGUCGCGUUGUUCGUGAAAACUCACAGCUCAACUGUGGGCGUGCGGGCGAUACGGGCAGACUAGAGUACUGCAGGGGGAGACUGGAAUUCCUGGUGUAGCGGUGGAAUGCGCAGAUAUCAGGAGGAACACCGGUGGCGAAGGCGGAUCUCUGGGCCAUUACUGACGCUGAGGAGCGAAAAGCGUGGGGAGCGAACAGG
rnacentral:rRNA from 1 species